rnacentral:rRNA from 1 species
UAGUCCACGCCGUAAACGAUGAGUACUAAGUGUUGGGGGUCGAACCUCAGUGCUGUAGUUAACGCAAUAAGUACUCCGCCUGAGUAGUACGUUCGCAAGAAUGAAACUCAAAGGAAUUGACGGGGGCCCGCACAAGCGGUGGAGCAUGUGGUUUAAUUCGAAGCAACGCGAAGAACCUUACCAGGUCUUGACAUCGAUCUAAAGGUCCUAGAGAUAGGAAGAUAGUUAUAGAGAAGAC